ACCGCAGGGAGCUGAUACCGAAGAGAUCGUUAAGAAGGAAGGUGUAUCCAAAAUUGCACAUGUAUGGGACUUGUGAGUUAUGCGAAGCAAUUGAUACUGUUAAGGUUCAUUGGUCAUAUGAAGUUUGCACACGUCAAGCUUGACAUCCUAAAGAUCACAAUGCAUUCUGAAAACGAUACCGUGCAGGUUUGUUGGCGUAUACGUGGUGUCACAGGCUGGAAGGUAUUUUAUAUGUUUUGGAAGUAAAAUUUGGAAAAUACAACAUGCCAUAAUAAGCGCUAACCAGGAAAUAUGGUACAACGGCUUUUUUAUUUUUUACGUUAAUGCUGAAUGGAAAAGUCUAUAAGCAUAUUGCGGACAAGAUGAUGCCUAAUCAGGAUACAGCCACGAAAAAGAAAGAUAUGCGCAUGGCAGGGAAAUUAGCGCUAUUCACAGGCCUUGUAUGCAUAUUUAGUAACAACGAGGAUUCUUUGAAUUGAACUCUGUCUUAAAAUCGCAUCAAUUGAAGUGAAUCCACUGCUGAGUGCUGAAAUUAUACGAUUUUAUCCGCCACAACGAAUAGACCAAGAGAAAUGCUUUUUCCAGUCGAUGGUCUCGAAUGUUGCUGACGUAUCUAUUUCGUUGCAAAUGCAUCAUUAUGAAAUGAUGAUCGGUAGUAAAUGAGAGAUAUGUGAAUUAAAAAGAUGUGUACAUUAACUAAACAGUAUCUUUGUAUGAUUACAAACUAUCUUCAUCUAAUUUUUUAGUGACAAUGUCCGAAUAAUUUGCGUUAGUAUUUCUGUGUAAAAAAAUAUGACGAUUAU